UUCGUAAGGGGCUGAUUUGGAUCCACUAGUUUAAUGCUAUGGUUAGACUUUGUCUUAAUUCUUCUUUCGUAGUUGCGGAUGCUUGCGAGAGGGGUUAAUCAUAAGUGGGAUGCUUGUCCAAGUAAGGGUAGUACCCAAGCAUCGGUCCACCCACAUAUCAAACUAUCAAAGUAACGAACGCGGAUCAUAUGAACAUGAUGAAACUAGCAUGACAGAAAUUCCCGUGUGUCCUCGGGAGCG
rnacentral:lncRNA from 1 species